AUGCAUUGUCAAAGGGGUUUCUAAACCAACCUGGGUGUAAUAUAAUUCUGGCCACUGGUUGGUUUUGUGGCGCUAGUCUGAUUUCGCAUAGGGAACACUGUAAACAGGAAGAGGUGCAUAUUUCUUCGCCCAGCAGCAGUCACUGAGCUAGCAAGCCAACGAUACUCAACCACAGCCCUCACAGCUGCAUUCGUCUGCCCCUGCACCUGCUACACCGGCGGUGACAGGUGAGACAGAUCUGCCACCCCCUAGCAGUUCAGCUGCAGUCACAGCAGUCCUCUGCUGUGGUAUUUCAUUCACCGGCUGCACCAGUUCCUACUACACUGGCCGUGAAGGGAGAAACGUUUGAGGAUUCCCAGAUGGAUACAGAUCUGCCUCACCCAGAAGUGGAUACACUGGGCCUAUCAAGACUGACAAAGCAGAGAUGGGGUGGCUGACAAGGAAAAAUAAAACAACAUGCACACUCUCUCUCACACACACAUUAUCCCCAAUGUAAAUACAUUGUUUAUUUUAUGUAUGCUCCGUUUUAUUUGAGGAUUGGAGAUAUCUACGCCUACAUAUCCAUUAUCAAUAUCUACAUAAUUACUCUAAAUAUCUAUCAAAUCAAAGUAUGAUUGAUAAUAUUGUAAAAGAGUAUUGCUUAAUUUGUACAGGAAAUUCUGUGUGCAUUUUUUCUGAGUUGAAAAACAUGCCUCCCUUUCUCACUCGCACACACACAUUAGACCCAAUGUAAAUACAUUGUUUAUUUUAUGUAUGCUCCAUUUUAUUUGAGGAUUGUGUGCAAUAAAGUACAUUCCACAGUUAAA